CAUGCGAAAUGACAUAAAGCACAUACGAGUAGUUAGUAAAGCUAUCAUGGGAAAACUGUUGUAAGAAGAAGAUUUAUACAAGUAUAGUAAAAACGAUAGAUCGUUUUUAACGUGAUUAGUACAUAUUUAAUAUUGUCGUCGCCAGAGAACGUUCGGGACGAAACAGCGGAUAUGACCAUUAAACACAUCGGAUUUCUGCUUUGUCUCUUGUCGAUUGUGGUACUGGGAGGAUUUAAUCGUCCAUUUGUUAGAUAUUUCGACCCACCUCCUGGCUAUGUACCUGAUCUAGUAAACAACAACUACCAAGGUUAUCUACGAAUCCACGGAAUCAAUCCUCGCAUGACGUUUGUCCCUCGCAGUCUUACUCUACGAACCACUCAGAUGAACAGUCCCUCCACUCCAUCAAACAACUUGUGAUAUAGUUUCUCAAUUUAGUAAUGCUGUGUCACAUUAUGUAUAAUGAGUUGGAAUUAUGAUUAUCCAUCUUUCCAGCUAAUUUUUGCUAUGAAUAUUAUUAUGAAAUUAAAGCUUUCAUGUGUAUGUACAUUAUUAUUUUAGUGUCUUUGUUCGUCGAGCUUAAUUGAAUAAUUAGAAUAGUUUCUUUGACUAAAGGAAUUAUUCAUGAUGACAUGACACUUUACUAUAGUGGUGCUCUUAUGAUUUACUUUAUAGCACUAAACGACAUAAAACAUUAUAAUACGUUUCUUACUAACAGAUUCAUUGACACAUAGACCUGACAAGUGGUACAUUUAGGCAGGUAAACUUAGUUUCGAGUUAUAACCAAUUUAACAUCUCUACUUUGUUAUUUUGUAACUUUUUAAAAUAUUUUGCACACUUUUUGGUUUUCGUAUAGUGGACAUAUUCAUGAGAAAAUAGACUUACGUAACUUGAAUAAGAUAUGAAUUUCUAAUAUGUGCUUUGUUAUUUUUUGUACUACUUUUAUUAACCUGAAAAAAAAUUUCCAAUUACAAAUGAUGUUUCAGUUUAUGCUUUUGAUCAGUGUGUUUCAACAGUAUGCAAUAAAUAUUAUAUAAUCUUGACCAUAAAAGUGUGAAAACUAUUUUAUGUUCAUCAAAGCCAACAUUUUAUUUUGGUUCAUUUUGGUUAAGAAAAUAAAGAAAAAAACUUGACCAAAACUUCAAGUAUUUUGAUAUUACUGUAACAGAUGUAAUGUUAGUAACUUUCACUAGAGGGCGCUGUUUUGUAAUAGUCACUUCAAUCGUUACAGAGUCAAUAAACAUCGAUUCUUACACCUGGA